rnacentral:lncRNA from 1 species
UCCAGUCUGGGGUCCCCUGCUUUAUGGCAGGGGCAAGGGAAUUUGGUAGCAGUAUUUUGGAAAAAUGUUAACGCCUGUCAUCGUUCGGAAAUUUCAAAGAACUUCUGACAUUGCCUUUUUGUACUGAUGACAGCAGUGCGGCCCCAAGCUGCCUGCCUUUGGGAGACAGAGGAGCCACACUUGUACAUGCUUUGAAAGUGAGAAACUUACAGAAACCUAGAAAAAGGAUUUGGGACCUCAGGAUCUGAAUGGUUCCUGGAGUUCUUUGCAGAUGAGGUAAUGUUUUGGUUAACUCAUAGGUCAGACCUGCUGUCCUUAGCUAACUUGCCCGGGAGGUUUUUAACGAAGGCCUGUGUUAGCACAAAUCAUAUUUCCUGAUGACGAGCAGAGACCUUGAUCUGGUCUUAAAGAACGCAUUUUCCAACUUACCCUGGGACUUUUUUGAAUUAGCCGGCCACAUAUACCAGGGUUCUCAGAGGAUUUUUUUUCCCCCUUUCUCUCUGUCUCUUUCUGGGUUUUUCCUAUUACUAAUUAUACAGGCAAGAAGGUAAUGAUUUCUGGUGUUCUUUCCUUUAAACCUCUACUUUGAGAUCAGCAGCCCGGGACACAGAUAAAUAGGUCAGUUAUUACUGACGUCACAGGGAACUCCUGGCUCAGAUUAACCGUGCAGAGAUGGACGCCUGUGAGUGUGUGCAAGGGGUGAUGAAACAUAAAGUACGGUCAGUUCAUUUACCAACAAAUUCCAGCAAC